rnacentral:ribozyme from 1 species
AGCAAUACUGCACUGGUAAGACAUGGAUCCGAAGCCUCUUGAAGGUCAACAAAGGCUCUCCAUACCCUACUUCGACUCAAUACGUCCCCGGCGUAUAGAACGGUAACAUGUCUCUCCAAAUAUCUGAGCUUG